AAAGUGUUCAAAGCUUGUGAAGAAUUCUGUUCUCCAAUAUAAAAUUCUUUGUGCUGAAUGUAUAGUGUAUUUAUUAUAUGAUACUCAUAUUUUUUGACUCUAAUGUAUAUGCCUAGGAAAAACUUUAAAAUCCAAACCUAAUGAGAAGUAUUCACUGGAAUAAAAAGUGUGACAAGAAACCCAGUUCUGCCCAGUAAAGAGAGAUUAACUGUUCAAACUUGAGAUAUUGAUUUUUAACCUCCUCCACACGUUUGACUUUUCCAAAACAUCAAAAAGCUAUUGAUGAGAAGCCAGUGACCUGGUUUCCAAGGCAAGGCAAAUGUAAGCAGUAGGUGGGUAUGCUGAAAACUAUUUGGUCAAAUGCAGCUCUUAUUUUCAUGAUGAAUUUACCUAUUAUGCAUCUCAUGUAAAAGCAUGGGGGCUGGACGGUUUCAUGAACGAUAGUGAGUCAGUUGGCAAACACUGUCAGAUUCAGAGUCUCAAAAUGAUGGUUUUUGUUACUCUAAAAUUCCCCGGGGUAUCAUUAACAUUUACAGCAAAAUAGUGAAUCAUUGUAAAAGCGCCUUUACUGUAAACACUGGCCAAGCUCAAUUAUAUUCCUAUUUACCAGAAAACCUUCAGAAACUGAAGAAAGAACUCAAAAUAACUGAAUAACUGUCAUGCAUUUGAUCUAACAAAUGAAAUGCAACUGUUAAUGAUUGCUGCCUAAAGGUAUAAAUCUCUAUUGUUUAUGACUUCACUUCCAUGCCUGUUUUAUUCUAAUACAGAAAGACGUAACAUGAUACACAUGUUUUUGAGCCUGUUGAUCAAGUAAUUUGAUAUUAACUUUCUCUUAUUGCCAUAUACUCUGUCAUCCGCGUGCUACCUGCUGCGUUCGUGCUCACUUGAGUGACGUAUAUCACACUUUCCACCCUCUGCCACAACAGCUUGCCAUUUGUAGCUAAAAAGGUGUUGAUGGUGGGAGCCCGUGAUGCUGCUUCCUGUCUCCAUUGCACAUCAGAAUUUCCCCUCUGCCCGCCCACUUUCAUUUUGUGCAGAGCUGUGGGCUGUUUCACUUCAGUCUGUCCGAGUCUGUUGAUAGAGUCUGUUCUGCUCAAUGUAUACUGUUGCUUUCUCCAGCCACCCACACCGUUUGACCCCCGACUGAAUGUUUUAGAGUGGUAA
rnacentral:lncRNA from 1 species